rnacentral:tRNA from 1 species
GUGGACAUAGCUCAGUCGGUCAGAGCGCUUGACUGUGGAUCAAGAGGUCGCGGGUUCAAAUCCCGUUGUCCACC